UACGUAGGGUGCAAGCGUUAUCCGGAAUUAUUGGGCGUAAAGAGCUCGUAGGUGGUUUGUCGCGUUGUUCGUGAAAACCGGGGGCUUAACCCUCGGCGUGCGGGCGAUACGGGCAGACUUGAGUACUGCAGGGGAGACUGGAAUUCCUGGUGUAGCGGUGGAAUGCGCAGAUAUCAGGAGGAACACCGGUGGCGAAGGCGGGUCUCUGGGCAGUAACUGACGCUGAGGAGCGAAAGCGUGGGGAGCGAACAGG
rnacentral:rRNA from 1 species